rnacentral:rRNA from 1 species
GACGUAGGGGGCGAGCGUUGUCCGGAGUUACUGGGCGUAAAGCGCCCGCAGGCGGUCUGGCGCGUUGGGGGUGACAGGCGGCGGCUUAACUGCCGCAGGACCCGCAAGACGGCUGGACUGGAGGGCCUCAGAGGGACAUGGAAGUCCGGGUGGAGCGGUGAAAUGCGUAGAGAUCCGGAGGAACACCAAAGGCGAAGGCAGUGUCCUGGGAGGCACCUGACGCUCGGGGGCGAAGGCCAGGGGAGCGAACGGG